CUGGCUCAGGAUAAACGCUGGCGGCGUGCUUAACACAUGCAAGUCGAACGGAGUAUCCUCGGAAGAUUGAAGAGCUUGCUCGGAGAGAUUCUUGGAAUACUUAGUGGCGGACGGGUGAGUAACGCGUGGGUAACCUGCCUCACACAGGGGGAUAACAGUUGGAAACGACUGUUAAUACCGCAUAAGCGCACAGUACCGCAUGGUACAGUGUGAAAAACUCCGGUGGUGUGAGAUGGACCCGCGUCUGAUUAGCUAGUUGGUGAGGUAACGGCCCACCAAGGCGACGAUCAGUAGCCGGCCUGAGAGGGUGUACGGCCACAUUGGGACUGAGACACGGCCCAAACUCCUACGGGAGGCAGCAGUGGGGAAUAUUGCACAAUGGGGGAAACCUUGAUGCAGCCGACGCCGCGUGAGUGAUGAAGUAUUUCGGUAUGUAAAGCUCUAUCAGCAGGGAAGAUAAUGACGGUACCUGACUAAGAAGCACCGGCUAAAUACGUGCCAGCCGCGGC
rnacentral:rRNA from 1 species